CUUGAACUUCUUGUGAAGACACUUCCUCAGAAAGAUUUGUCUGCCAUGUCUCCCAAGUUUGGAUUAUUGUUGCUUAUGUUGGUGCUAAUGUGCAGCAUUCAAUAUUGUGGAGCACACGGUAUGUUUUUAGAUUUGCUGAGUCUACAGAGCAGGUUACCAAGAGGAACUACAAACAGACUUACUUUCCUAGUUGAUGGAUCAUUGUCCCUUCCAGGGAUAAAAACUAUCGCUUUUAUCUUUUAGCACUGUUAU